UACGUAGGGAGCAAGCGUUGUCCGGAAUCAUUGGGCGUAAAGCGCGCGUAGGCGGCCCGAUAAGUCCGCUGUGAAAGUCAACGGCUCAACUGUUGGAUGCCGGUGGAUACUGUCGGGCUAGAGUACGGAAGAGGCAAGUGGAAUUCCUGGUGUAGCGGUGGGAUGCGCAGAUAUCAGGAGGAACACCUAUAGCGAAGGCAGCUUGCUGGGACGUUACUGACGCUAAGGCGCGAAAGCGUGGGGAGCGAACAGG
rnacentral:rRNA from 1 species